rnacentral:sRNA from 1 species
GCCAGGCGUGGUGGUGCUCGCCUGUAAUCCCAGUGGCUUGGGAGGCUGAGGCAUGAGGAUUACAAGUUCAAAGCCAGCCUCAGCAACUUAGUGAGGCCCUAAGCAAAAUAGCAAGACCCUGUCUAAA